rnacentral:lncRNA from 1 species
UGGGUAUUUCACUUGCAUGUGUAUAUGUGCACUAUGUGUGUACCUGGUGAUUGUGGAGCCAGAGCAGAGUGUCAGAACCACUGGCUCUGACAUUACAAGUGGUUGUGAGCCACCAUGUAUGGUGCUGGGAACCAAACCUGGGUUCUCUGCAAGAGCAAUGAUUGCUGUCAAGUUUUGAGUUGUCUCUCUAGCCUUUUCUUCCCCUUUUACUUUUAGACUUUAUCCUGUAUAUCUGGGGAGGUGAACUGUGCACUUCAUUAGUCUUGUAUUCAUGAAGUGGGUCUCAUGGGAUGAGGGCAGUAGUUUAAAGGAAGACUUUGAACAUUGAGAAAGGGUUUCCAGAGAUGGAGAACGCUUUGGACUGAGGGCACUGAAGGUUGCAGGUUUCCAGAGAUGGAGAACGCUUUGGACUGAGGGCACUGAAGGUUGCAGU